rnacentral:tRNA from 8 species
ACUCUAAUAGUUUACAAAAAACAUU